GUAAAUUUGCCAGUGUCAAAAAGGCAGUGUCAAACUAUUUUAAUUCUUCCGGAGUUCUUCCAACAAUGGACAGAGUAAAAUUGAACCAGAAAACUUCCAGUGUUGGUGAAAAUAAUCGGAGUUAACAGAGGUUUUACUCUGUCAGUGUUAUUGACUCUCUCAGGCCCUGAUUCAACACUGAUUAGAGCAAGAUACCUUCCAGAGUAUCACAAAAAAUACUCUGGAAAGCCCCGCCCACCAACUUUCCCGGUCAAACUGAGAAUGUGGAUUCUGGCAUCGCCAUCUUCCUCGCAUCGAAAUACUGUGUUCCCCCCCAUGCCGCUAGGCGGGUGUGGCUGUGUGUUUCUGCGGGUGCCGAAUCCUUGGUGAGCCGAAUCUCAUAUUGAAGCGCAGGCUACGGAGAAGACGUGAAUUUACAACACUGGUUCACCCACUGAGGGACCUGGACGAGCAAGUGCACUUUCGAUACUUUCAAAUGUCAGCAACUGCCGCAAAUUACGUUCUGAGCGGACCAAUCACAGCACUUGCGGUCCACGUCAACUCGACUCGCAGUUAGAUUUUUUCGGAGGUGCACGUCAGGCUACGGCGGAGGGGUCUACGUAGUUACUUAUUAUGUAUAUUUUCCUUUUUUCUUUCAGGUUGUUCUUUAAUGUACUGUGGUGCUCUGGUGAUACCAUCAUGUUGAUCAAAACAUUCCUGUCAUCCAGCACCAACCAAGAUCUUUGCCACUGUGAUAAGAUGUGAGCUUUACAUGUUUUAGGUUUACUUUUGAUGCC
ensembl:lncRNA